rnacentral:rRNA from 1 species
AAUAUUCGACAAUGGGGGCAACCCUGAUCCAGCCAUGCCGCGGGUGUGAAGAAGGCCGUGUGGUUGUACAGCACUUUAAGCAGUGAGGAAGACUCCAUGGUUAGUACCUAUGGACGAGGACAUUAGCUGCAGAAUAGUCGCCGGCUAACGCUGUCCCAGCAGCCGCGGUAAUACAGAGGGCGCAAGCGUUAAUCGGAAUUACUGGGCGUAAAGGGCUCGUAGGUGGUUCGGCAAGAUGGGUGUGAAAGUCCAGCGCUUAACGUUGGAUCCGCUCUGAUAACGGGUGGGCUAGAGUACGGUAGGGGGUAGUGGAAUUCCCGGUGUAGCGGUGGAAUGUGUAGAUAUAGGGAAGAACACCAGUGGCGAAGGCGGCUCUCUGGGCCAAUACUGACGCUGAGGAGCGAAAGCGUGGGGAGCAAAC